GUGAAUCAUCGAAUUUUUGAACGCAAAUUGCGCUUCCUAGCAUCCCGGGAAGUAUGCCUGUUUGAGGGUCAGUAUUAACAAAAAAAUCGGUUUGGUUGCAAAUUGUGACGUUUCUGGGGUUUGGGCUGCCUUAACUUUUUUGGUUAAAGGUCUUAAAAUUGACCUUUUUUGCGCAUUUUUAGUCGUACAUAAUUUUUUUUUUAUUCGUUUAUUCUUAUUGCCUAAAUCUUAUUAUAUGCG
rnacentral:misc_RNA from 1 species